UACGAAGGGGGCUAGCGUUGCUCGGAAUUACUGGGCGUAAAGGGCGCGUAGGCGGAUAGUUUAGUCAGAGGUGAAAGCCCAGGGCUCAACCUUGGAACUGCCUUUGAUACUGGCUAUCUUGAGUUCGGGAGAGGUGAGUGGAAUGCCGAGUGUAGAGGUGAAAUUCGUAGAUAUUCGGCGGAACACCAGUGGCGAAGGCGACUCACUGGCCCGAUACUGACGCUGAGGUGCGAAAGCGUGGGGAGCAAACAGG
rnacentral:rRNA from 1 species